rnacentral:rRNA from 1 species
AGAGUUUGAUCCUGGCUCAGAACGAACGCUGGCGGCAGGCCUAACACAUGCAAGUCGAGCGCGUAGCAAUACGAGCGGCGCACGGGAUAAUAACGCGUGGGAACCUACCUUUCGGUUCGGAAUAACAUCGGGAAACUGGUGCUAAUACCGGAUACGCCCUUCGGGGGAAAGAUUUAUUGCCGAAAGAUGGGCCCGCGUCGGAUUAGCUAGUUGGUGAGGUAACGGCUCACCAAGGCUACGAUCCAUAGCUGGUCUGAGAGGAUGAUCAGCAUCACUGGGACUGAGACACGGCCCAGACUCCUACGGGAGGCAGCAGUGGGGAAUAUUGGACAAUGGGGGAAACCCUGAUCCAGCCAUGCCGCGUGAAUGAUGAAGGCCUUCGGGUUGUAAAGUUCUUUUGACGGGGACGAUGAUGACGGUACCCGUAGAAUAAGCUCCGGCUAACUUCGUGCCAGCAGCCGCGGUAAUACGAAGGGAGCUAGCGUUGUUCGGAUUUACUGGGCGUAAAGGGCGCGUAGGCGGUUUUGUAAGUUGGAUGUGAAAGCCCUGGGCUCAACCCGGGAAUUGCAUUCAAAACUACAUGACUUGAAUUCGGUAGAGGUUGGUAGAAUUCCCAGUGUAGAGGUGAAAUUCGUAGAGAUUGGGAAGAAUACCCGUGGCGAAGGCGGCCNCUGGACCGACAUUGACGCUGAGGCGCGAAAGCGUGGGUAGCAAACAGGAUUAGAUACCCUAGUAGUCC